rnacentral:rRNA from 1 species
UACGUAGGGCGCAAGCGUUGUCCGGAAUUAUUGGGCGUAAAGAGCUCGUAGGCGGCUUGUCGCGUCGGCUGUGAAAACCUGGGGCUCAACCCCGGGCCUGCAGCCGAUACGGGCAAGCUAGAAUUCGGUAGGGGAGACUGGAAUUCCUGGUGUAGCGGUGAAAUGCGCAGAUAUCGGGAGGAACACCUAUGGCGAAGGCAGCUCGCUGGGACGUUACUGACGCUGAGACGCGAAAGCGUGGGGAGCAAACAGG